AAAUGACUUCCUUCCAUUGCUUCACAGUCCAGAUUUUAUGGCUUCGACACGACGUUUUCCUAUUCAGAACAUGUGUACCACAGAUGUGGAGAUUUUUGUCUCAGAGUUGACCAGUUGGUUUGGAGACAACGUAUACAAAUAAUAAUAUACAGUAUUCAUGCAUUGAUGUUGUUACUUCAUUGACUUCAUAAAGAAUAACAGCAGAAUUGUCAAGGGUAAUAAGACAAGAUUUUCACUUGUCAGGUUCAUUAUGCAAGGUGUGCAAUGCAGAUCCUAUCCAACAUAUACGACGUUAACAUUUUAAUGUUCUGUA